ensembl:misc_RNA Metazoa_SRP Metazoan signal recognition particle RNA
GCCGGGCGUGGUGGCUCACGCCUGUAAUCCCAGCCCCUUGGGAGGCGGAGGCGGGCGGAUCACCUGAGGUCAGGAGUUCGAGACCUUCCUGGCCAACACAGUGAAACCCCGUCUCUA